rnacentral:rRNA from 1 species
UACGGAAGGCAGCAGUGGGGAAUAUUGCACAAUGGGCGAAAGCCUGAUGCAGCUAUGCCGCGUGUAUGAAGAAGGCCUUAGGGUUGUAAAGUACUUUCAUCGGGGAGGAAAAAACAAAACUAAUAAUUUUAUUUCUUGACGUUACCCGAAAAAGAAGCACCGGCUAACUCCGUGCCAGCAGCCGCGGUAAUACGGAGGGUGCUAGCGUUAAUCAGAAUUACUGGGCGUAAAGAGCACGUAGGUGGUUUUUUAAGUCAGAUGUGAAAUCCCUGGGCUUAACCUGGAACUGCAUUUUGAAACUGAAAUACUAGAGUAUCGUAGAGGGAGGUAGAAUUCUAGGUGUAGCGGUGAAAUGCGUAGAUAUCUGGAGGAAUACCUGUGGCGAAAGCGGCCUCCUAAACGAAUACUGACACUGAGGUGCGAAAGCGUGGGGAGCGAAACAGGGAUUAGAUACC